AAAAACAUCAGUGUGUGUUCAUCUUCCUUGACACAGAGGAUGUAGUUUUACAUUGGUACCCAAAUAAAUGACUUGUCUUCCAGUUCAUUUUGUUUUAUAUUUAAGUUUUAUUGUAUUUUUAUUAGGGAUGCACCUAAUCCAGAUUUUUUGGGUUUGGCCGAAUACCGAAUCCACUGUUUAAGAUUCGGCCGAAUCCGAAACCGAAUCCUACUCGCAUCCUUAUUCCAUCAACACAGUAAAACACACUAAUGAAGUAAACAACGUCCACAGCAGUGUAUUUUUCAUUUUAUUUUAUUUUAACUGCAAAGCUAGUAAUGGUCGUCUGGUUAGCACACGUUUUUAGCUGUGACUGUCCUUCCUCUGGAUGUUUUAGACGCAUAUGUUUUAACAGUGACGAUGUUGUGUACUGCUUAGGGUCCUUGCCACAACGAGACAAAUCGGCAUUGCAAAUUGAACAUGUAGCUCGACUUGAAUCGCCUUCUUUUGGUUGAAAGUACUGGCAAACAGAUUCUCACAGCCUAAUACAUUCGAACUGUCCACAUGUAAACACCUUCACGUAAUCAACGGCCGCAUGACGUCGACCAGCGUAGUGCAAGCCUAGGGUUCGGUUCGGUGGAAGAAAAAUCUAAGGUUCAGCCGAAACCGAACCCCGUCAAAAAGCCCAGUAUUCUGCCGAAUCCGAAUCCUGGAUUCGGUGCAUCCCUAAUUUUUAUUUAUGUUUUUAUCUUGGAAACUAAUAUUAUUACUCCUUUUGAAAAAUGCCUAAAUUCAAGUACCUAAGUCCAAUAUUGUUUUAGUUCUUUAUAUUAUCAUCUUUUGUAUUCUACACAGGUUUAGAACGACAUGGGUGUGAGUAAGUAAUGACAGAAUAUAAAUUUUUUGGGUGAACUGUCACUUUAAGAUACAUAAGAAUGAAGAAAAGUCUAGAAAUGAGAACUGGUGGAUAAUAAACUGCGACCUAAAGCAUUUUAGAUAAGUGAAUGAAUGCUGGUCACUAGUGCAUCUUGACUCCCCGGCACCACAAUAUUUAGCUCACUUACCUAAGAGCCAUCUUGAUUCUUUGAUAUAGGGUAGUUGCGUCAAAGUAUCAGUAAACAGAAAGACAGAGUUUGCCAUGACAUUUUAGUUGUGCCAAAUGAAAUUAUAGCACUGCCAGUUCUCAUUCCCUUUUUCAAGGGAAUUCAUCCAACAACAUUUGUUUAACAUGACUUUGGGAGGCCACGCUUGACUAAACAACUAAAACAAGCAACAAAUUCAAAGUCACCCUCAAUUAAUCACAAAUAUCUCAUAUGCCGUAUAUAAAAUUGGAUGGAAUGAGUUUACUGUUAUGUACAUUUGAGUUUUUUUUUUUAUAACACAAUUUAGUUUAGUGGCAUUAUAAGGCAAAAAAAAAAAAAAACUUUGUAGUCUCUGAAACAACCAUACGUGAAAGGCAGGCCACAUCCGGAGCCAAUGUCUAAUCAACGUGUGUGUGCAUGAAUACAAAUUUUGUCAGUCAAAUAUUUAAGUAUUGCGUGCCAUUCAUCUUCCCGUUUCACCCACGUAUACACAUUCUGCUGAAAUUCUUAUGAAUAGCCUCCAGGCAAAAUAAACCUCAUAAAUCUAUUAAAAACCAUUAAUAUGGGACCUGGCUAAAAACUGGCUUCUGCUCUUUCAGCUCGCUCACUCAAUCAUUCACGUGGCCUCUCAGCUGAUAUCAGUUGGCCUGACUGGGGACGUCAUCGGUUUACUGACUUGAUCAAGAUAUGGGUCUUCCUGGAAUAGAUGCAGAGAAAAUGCUCAAAUGAAAAUCAUAUUAGCAAUGGAAUGCUUUCUCUUAAUGGAUCCAGCCCUGUUUUGCAGAGAAUCCACCCUGUCAUUUAUACCCUGAGGUAUAAAGCAUAAAUAUAUAUAUAAUAUAGUAAUAUAUAAUAUUAAUUUAUUUAUUUUGUUAUUUUAUUUUUAUGGAUGAUCCUUG
ensembl:lncRNA